rnacentral:snRNA from 1 species
GUGCUUGCUUCGCCAGCACGAAUACUAAAAUUGAAAUGAUACAGAAAAGAUUAGUAUGGUCCCUGUGCAAGGGUGAUACACAAAUUUGUGAAGCGUUCCAUAUUUUU